UUAAAUAAAUCUUCAUCUGAGUUGCAGGGUGUCCUCGGCCCCUGUGGAGCUGAUCCGCUGGGACCUGGUCGUGGAGCUGGAGGAGGGAAAACACUCUGUGGAGAUCACCAAGUCAGGGAAUGUUUAUACUGUGGAGGUGGAUGGAGAACAGAUGGAAGUCAGUGGACUGUGGAACCUGGCCUCCCCCCUGCUACCACUCAGCAUCAAUGGCACACACAGGAUGCUACAGUGUCUGUCCAGAGAUGCUUCAGGAAGGAUUGACCUGCAGUACAAGGGCACGUCGGUAAGAUGUCUACACACUAGGAGUGUAACGGUUCACAGAAGUCACGGUUCGGUAUGUACCUCGGUU